rnacentral:lncRNA from 1 species
AUACAGUGAGUUUGUCAGUCAGUGUGAAAGUGGCUGCCUAGCUAGACCAUUGAGCUGCAUUUCAUCUCCAGUAAACUGCAUAGCUUAAAGUCAUUGAUACCUUAGCUCAAGUCAUAUAAUAAUAUGGCCUGCUUUUGUUUCCAGUAUGUGUUUCUGUAGAAGAGCUAGGCUCAUGACUAGCAUCUUGUAUGUCCAUUAUUUUCUUUUUCUUUUUGGAUCAAUUUAUUUAGUCUAGGCAUUCCAGAUGAAAUGUAAUGACUUUAUUUAUCCUCUUUUGUAGGUGGAGUAGAUCAAUAAAUAGAAGAUGAAGGCAUUGAAGAUCCAGACCUUAUUUAAGAUGAAUUUUGAAUUGCUAUAGAUGAAUGUUCUAGGAAUCUUUUGUUGUCAACAUUUUGAGACUUACUAUCGUGAAAUGUAUUAAACUUAUGCACUUGGGGUAGAACAUUUACUUUUGUGGAUAUUAUUAGCUUGUUGGACGAGUUAUAUUAUGAAUAGUUUUAUUUUGUGAUUUAUUUAAA